rnacentral:lncRNA from 1 species
CAAUAUCCAAUUAGUUGUACUACAUUUUGAUGAUGUAUUCUUCCAAUUGUUGCAAUUUCACUAAUAAAGUCUUGGCCGCUACCUUUUGCUUUAUGUAGCAUUUUAAUUGCCACAGAAGGCCCACUACGCAACUUUCCCUUGAAUACAAAGCCAUAGCCUCCUUCACCCAAUUUUUCUUUGAAACCUCUAGCCAUCUUCUUAAUUUCUUUGUAUGAGUAUCCAAUAGGCAUCAAGUUAUUUUGUUCCAGAUAAUUUUCAAUAUUUUCAUAUAUUGACAAAUGCAUUUUUCUCCAUUUGUAUAUCAAAAGCACAAUAAACAAUGUCAUCCCAAACAAAAACUUGCCUGCCAAGAAUGGUAGAAUGUAGUGUCCAAAGGUAAUAAAUAUUGAGUCAUACGCAUUGAAUUCAUGUUCAAGUUGUGGGUUUGGUCCUCUUAUAGUUUCAUACAAUCCUGUGAAUUAAUAUCACAAAUGUGACUAUUAUGUUAUAACGGAUGAUAAAGGAAAAAAGAUAACUAUCAUACAACCUAUAUGCACCAUCUGUUAAUAUUAGAAGAUUCUUAAUUAUUGGAAGAGUCAAAGUCACAAAGUGGUACGUACCAUCAUAUAAUCAAUAGUAAUAAUAAUGUCAAACUAUUAUAACACAUACUAAUUCCAGUGAAAUGUUUUGUAUGGUUAAUUUUAUGUGUAGCAUAUAAAAAUAGAGGAACUCACCUAUUAUGACAGCAAAAAUGGCAUCUGCAAAAAAAGAAAGAAAAGGUUUGCUUGAUUGAAUAGUGUAAUAAAGAAUCGUUUGAUUACAGUGUUAAUGUGAGAUGCAAUAAGUAAGGUAUUUGUUAAAGUAGAAUAUCCAUUUAGUUCUUAAAUUUUUUAAUAUCCUUCAAAUUUGACAAAUAUCAACCAAUUUAGUUGUUGAGGAUUUUGCAUAUCGGUCUGUUUUCGUUACUAAUAUUAAGUUUCAUCAAGGACCAAAUUGAUUAGUAGUUAUUAAUUUCUUUUGCUAUAGAAAGGAGAAAAAUAAAUAGUUAUUGUCAAAUCUAGCUAGGUAUCAAUUUGAUGUUUAACUUAUAUUGUUGAAUUAUGUUAUAUUAUACUAAGAAAUCAUAUAAGUCAUUGUUUCAAAUGCAAGCCAAUGGUUCUAUUAGUCUGUAUGUAUUAAAUAACUUGCACGUACAUAUACAUAAAUUUAAGAAGGAUGAUUCAUUGGAUGGAAUAGUAUUAAGGUUUAAUGGCUAUACAGGCAAAGACAAUGUAAAUAAAAUAAUUGGCAAAUGAUAAUUAAGGAACUAAAAGGAAAAGGAAGAAACAAAAUUUGAGUUCCAUAAAAUUAUAUUAUGUAUGACUUUUUUUACAUUUAUAUAUAAUUUCUACAAUAAAUAUUUUUUUUUAAUUUCUUAAAAUACUUAAUUAUAAACAAAACCUAAAACAAUUUUAUACAAUCAACCAAUAAAAAAUAUUACUUUUGAAAUAAUUAUUAUAAAAAUUUCAAUAUAUUUUGAUUUGAGAUAAAACAAAAAUUAAGGUUAUAAAAUCCUUACCUGGUGCAGAUGAUAGCAGAUUGGACCAUAUCCCUAUUGACAAAAAAAAAAUAUCAAUUUCGGAUUUCAUCAUAAUCGAGCUAGCUAGAAAGAGAAGACUAUAUAGCAUAUAUAUGUCAAAGUUUAUACCUAUUAUCAGUUUAAAAACUUUUAUUCAAAACAAAAAAAUGUUUUAUUUAAUCCUUGGUUUCAGAUAGAUACAGGUAAAAAAAAGUAAAACUAAUAAAUUAUUUUUUUGUUUAAAAAAUGAUUUUAUUAAUAGGAUGAAUAAGAAAUAUAAAUUAAAAUAUAAAUACAGACUUUUGAAACCUUGUUUCACCAAAUGCAAAAAUAUAUGGUUUAACAUAUUAAAGAUGGUUCUAUUGAUGAUUUGUAAAUAUAUAAUUUUUGCAACCUUUAGCACAUUCAGUAAGCUGGAACUGCUGUCCCCCCAGGAAAUUGCGGCAGGGGCAUUGAAGCUUCUUAAUGGAAGCGUCAAAUGCGCACUCGGAAUUCCACUUGGGAAUGCCACUUGAUGCAAGGAUCAGUAUCCACAUACUUCUCAUUGUUAAUCACUGCAUGGCUACAAUUUAAGAAAACUAUAUGCUGGAAAACGUGCUCCCAGGAAUAAGCUCGCUUUAGAAAGGCUAGGUAUGGAUCCCCUUCAAUUGCACUGAAAUUUGAUUGAGACAAGAAGUAGCGAGGAAUGGAGGAGCAAUAUGGCUGUUGAACACCCGGAUCCACCACACGGAUUGUGAAAUUGUUGUAGUUGAUAGCCUGCACAUGAUAUUUUCCAGAGUACAAAUAUAACACCGUAACAUUAUUUUCACAAGCUAGCUCAUACCUGUUGUCACCGCAACCUUUUGGGUCGCCUUUCAAUCGAAAUGGAUAAGUUAUGUUGGUGAUCACAGGAAGAAGGGGGGCAAGCAUGCUCUUGCUCACUGGUAGCACAAAUUUGCUGGACUAGUAAUAACAGGAACACCAAUAAAGCACUCUGUCUCCCCAUGACGCUCAAACUGUUUCUUGCUCACCUUUAAGUGCACAGUGCAUACAAAAUCAAAGUCGAUAUUUAAAGAAAAAAUUGUAAGGUUAUUUCUGUUCUAAUAUCUUUCUUUUCUACUUUUUACACAUUUUAAAUUAAUCUUACCAUUAUUGUAUUAUGUAAAAUUUUGACUGAAUCACAUCAAAAUGAGAGAGAUUUAGAGACUAUAAAUAUGAGACCGUAUAGUUGAUGAUGUCUUACAAGAAUUAAUUGAUAUUACCUAUACCAAUAAAAUACAUAUAUUUUUUGAUCGUUUAUUGUUUAAGAAUUUUAUGAUUAAACAUGUUUGACUUUGACUUGGAGUAGUUAUGAGAUAAUUUUAGUUAUUAUAUAUAACACUGAAAGUGAUAGUUUUCCCGAGCUUAUAGGUUGAAAUUGUUGGACUACAGUAAGAGCUUAUUAAAAUUCUGGAACUUUAUUUUUGAAUUUUACAUACACACGCCAUAGGAAAAUAAAUGUAUGCUUAUAAUUAUUGAUAUUUAAGACAUGGACUUAGGGGACCUCAUUUUUCCAAUAUUAAAAGAAUGUGUGAUUACGUAGACUUUAACUUGUCUUGUGGGCUUACGUCCCUGAGGGGUAUUAAGUCUUGGAAAAAUCAACACGAUUUUGAAGAGUUCUUCUAAGGUUUCGGUCAAUUUUCACGUGGUUGGGCUUGGAAGGUUUUGAUUAAUAUUAGAGGUAAAAUUUAACAGUGACAGCGAGACGUUAGGCUUUUUGAAUUUUUGUGAAGAGGAUGAGAUUUGAAGGAUUGGAAGGUCCUACUUAACCAACGGACUGUGCGGAUUUGGUCCACGGGUUGUCCGUAAAUCUGCUUAAUUCAUGGUUUAAGAAUCCCACCAACUAUAGCACCUUGAGAAUCCUGCUUAAUCCAGAUUUUUCAUUGUCGGUUUGUGAUAUUGUAUGCAUCCAAAUUGCAACUGUGGCUUUCGAAUCGGCAUUUAGUAUUGGUUCACGGGUGCUUAACAAAUAUCGAACUAGGCUUCUUGCUGACAACGUGCAAGCCUUGAUAUGUACUAAAAAUUGGUUACCAGGAUUUGAUAAGCAAGGUAAAUAAUAUGUAAUAAUUGUUGUCUUUUAAUCACUUAACUUGAGUUGAUUCUAAUAUUUAUUAUUAUUUUGAGUUUUAGGAAAAGAAGAUAAAGAUGUGGAGAUGGAGAAAACUCAAGCUACUUCAAAUAUGGAAUCAUUUGUUGUUAGAGAUGUUUAAGUUUCAUAUUUUAGAUUUAUUGCUUGGAUUUUCUAUCGUUAAGACAUUAUUUAUUUUAUUGAUGUAAUUGACUAAUUGUUGAGAUUUUAUUUAUAUUUGUGUUGAACUUAAUUUGAUUGUGUUGCAUUUUUGUUGAAAUUGAAAUUCAUUUAAAAUUAGGCCUACAGACUGACCCGUUUGACCUGCAGGGUCCACGGGGCGGGGAUGAAUCAAUUUAUUAGGUUCAUGUAAGAAUGCGAGGUGGACUGACCCGGUUCGCUGCCAAUGCAGGCGGGCCUUACGCAAAGUGGGCUGACCCACUUACCCACCCCUAAUUCCACACACUAUUUCCAAAAGUCCAGCACACCUUUUUGGACUUGUGGACUAGAAAAAUCCAUUAAAGUCAGUGUUGUGCAGCUUAAUGCAAGUUUAAAUUUAAUUUCAAAGAAUUUGGUAAGGUCAAGUAUGUGGUGGUAUAUGUCUGAGUUUCACUUUCUCCAUCAUAAUUCUGUGGGGGAGACAAUAUUAGAAUUUUAGAGGAUCCUUAUAAUAUAUCAAUAUAACCAUCAAGAACAUAUUACGUUAGAUUAUCAAGAAGAAUUUUAAGAAUAUCUGGAUCCAUAAUGACUGAUCAAACAAACGUAGCAGAAUCUGAAUCCGUAAGUGAUUUCUGAUCUAUGUACUCUCAGGAUAUGUUACGGAACAGAUAAUCGGCUAACAGCGUAACCAGUGACUUCAUGAUUCUUACUUAACCAGAGCUUCUUUAUUCCUUAAUAGGACCUUCGUAACUCUUCAGAUGUGGAGAAGAGAAACUAUAUCAGACGGCUCGGUAUAUUGAGGAUCAUAACCCAAUAGGGUUUAAGUCCAUAUCAUCGACUUAGUUGUCUAGUGGGCUCACUUAAUUUGAUCACAUAAAAUAAAACUCAUUAAUGAUAAAUAGCUAAUAUAAUUGUUUUAUAAUAUUAGCCCACAUUAAUUAUUGGAAUAGAAAAUUCCAACAAUCUCCUACUUGGGCUACAUAUUGUAACAAUUAUAUAAAAAAUCCUUAAGCGUGCAUUUGUAUGCUAUUUACCUUUAGACUUCCACCUUAACAACCUAGUUCAUCUCAUGUAUCAAUAAUAGAAUUAUUGCAGCUUUCGUCACUACAACAAAUAUAACUAGAUCCGAAUGACCAUCACAUUAGUACACUCAAUGACAUAGGUCAAUAUGGAUAAGCAACAUGAAAAUUACAUGCAAUGUGAUCUUAGUCAUGCCUAUUUCCAACUAGCCCAAACUUUAUUUUUUAUAUAGAUCUAUCCAAACACAACAUAAAUAUUGUAAAUAAAACAAGCUGAUAAUGAAAUGAUAAACUUUAACUUUAUUUCUGCAGAAAAUCCAAACAACAAAAUGUUUGUAAACCAUAAGAUAUCAAACAUAAGUAAGAUUCCCACUAAACUAAGUACUAUAAGGAAUUAGACCCAUAUGAACAGUGUGCUCAUGAAAAACUUUAAGUAUCAUAUCUUUAGUAAGUGGAUCAGCUAGCUUGCAAUGGGUUCCUAUAUGUUCUAUACAAAUCUGUAUUUUCUAAAUUCUUUAUUUAACAACCAAAUACUUUAUGUCAACAAACUUUUACUUGGUUGAAUCCUUAAUAAUACCACUAAGAUAUUGCCCCAAUAAACAACUGAUGACUACCUAAUGUUAGCAACGACAACAGGAAAUUUAGUUACAAUAAUUUAACAAUCAUAAAUUCUAGUAUGAUGUCGAAUAACAAAAUAUUAACCCCACCAACACGGUUAAAUAUGGAUCCUUAUGUGGAAUGAUUGCUAUUAAGACAUUCUGAAAAAAUCGAUGUCAGAAUAUCCUAUGAUCACUAAACUUCUAGACUUUCGAUAUGAAAACAUUUAAUUUUUUGUUCUCUUUAAUUAAUGCAUAAUGUGCUUUACUAUUUUCUAGUGUUGGUAUAUAUCACCUUAGGACUCCCACAAAAAAUUAUUUUAGGACAAUACAAAAAAACUUAAGCAUUCAUGAUAAAUUGUAAUAUAAUUGUUUUGCAACAAUAAGUCAUAUGAUGAUACUAGGAUGUCAUCAACAUAUAAUACCAAAAUAAUAAAUUUACUCCAACUAAACUUUUAGCAUACACAAUCAUCAACCAAAUUUACCUCAACAUCAUAAGAGAUAAUCUUGAUGAAUUUUGUAAUAUCAUAGACGAGAGAAUUGUUUAAAGCAUAAAUGGAUUUCUAUAGUUUACAUACCAUAGACUUUAGAUUAUCUUAAACAAGGUUUUCUGGUUGCACCAUAUAAAUUAUUUCAUCAAUAUUUCCAUUUAGAAACAUAAUCUUUACAUCCAUCUAUGCAAAACAAUUAUCAAAAUGAUCUGCAGUGUCAUUAUAGUCCUAUGAAAGUCUUUCUAAAAAAUUAGAGAGAAAGUCUCUUUGUGAUCAUUGACUUCCUUCUUGUAAAACUUUUGAUGACAAGACAAACUUUAUAUAUUUCAAUAUUACCCAUUGAAUCUCUUUCGAUUAUAUAAUAUCUACAACUUAUGGGUUUUACACUUUUAGGCAAUUUGAUGAUAUCCCAAAUGUCAUGUUCAACCAUUGGUUUUAUUACAUCAUUUAUGACAUCAAUUCACUUGAGAGUUAGAGCACAACAUGACUUGACUAAGGUCAAUUAAACCUUCUCAGUUAACCUAAUAUCAUUCAUAUUCAUGUUCUUAAAAAAAUAUGACAUAAUCAUAUCAAAUUACAUUUUUCCUUUCUUUGGUGAAUCUUCUUAAUGACACUUCUUGAGUUUAUUGAGUUUGAACUUUAGGUGAUGCUUGAGAGAGAAUCUUAGUGUUGUCUUGUCUUUUAAUAAUGUUAGGAGUAACAUCAUUAUUUAAUUACCAUAUCUGUUUUUUGAACAAUGGUAAGUACAAAGAUUUAUCUAUUGUCAAUAACAAAUUAUUCUUUAAAGACAACACUCAUUAUGUUUCCUUCCCCUCCAAACUCAAUUUUCUCAAGGAGUCUUGCAUUCUCGUCUCAAACAUGAUCUUAAAGUGAGAUUGUAAAACUUAUACAUGCAGAGAGCUAGCUUUAAAUAAAGAUGAAUCAUUUGUGGCGGUCAUAAUAAGCCACCAAAAAUACAUUUAUGGUGGUUUCUUCUAAUUCCCAGAAAAAACCGUCAACAAAGACAUUUUUUUACGUGCUUCCUAAAUCCACCCACUUAAUUCCUAUCUCUCAAGCUUCAUUCAUCCAGGUCAAACCAUUCAAAAACUUACUAUUCACCCCUAAAACAAGAUUUUCACCUAUGUAAUUAUAAUCAUAUAUAUAUAUAUAUAUAUAUAUAUAUAUAUAUAUAUAUAUAUAUAUAUAUAUAUAAACAUCACAAACCAUCACCUUAUAAUUAAUUAAUUACAUAUAUUUAAAUUAAAUUAUUCUUGCAAUCUAAUUAAAACCACUUAACUAGACAUUACAAAAAACAUAAUGUUACUUUAAUAAUUUAUUUUAACUAAUAAAUAUGGAUAGAUAUAAAAAGAUUAAUAUAGUACAUAGGAGUCUUUUUUAUUCAUUAAUUCGGUUUUUAUAAUAUGCUUUGUAUCCAAUAAUAAUUAAAAAAAUUAAAAGGAAUUUAUUUAAUAUAGUUAGCUAAAUUUAUUAUUUUUUUAAAAAAACUAAAUUUAUUAAAUUUAUGAAUAGUUACUUUUAUUUAAUAACAUUCAUGAUUUUUUUAAUCAUGUUGAGGUUUUAAAUAUCUUUAUGAAUUAAAUAUUUCCAUAAAAUAUUAUAUAUAUAUAUAUAUAUAUAUAUAUAUAUAUAUAUAUAUAUUCAAAAUUUUAUUAGAAAUAUUUCUUAAAAAUUGUAUAUUGAAUAUCAUUAAUGCGUGUAAUUAAAUUCUUUUUUCAAUAUAAUCAGGUAUGUUAAAUUUGAUUAUGUCUAAUUAACAACUUUGUAUGAAUAUGAUUUCGUAAUAUAUAUUAUAAACUUAAUUUUAAUUUUUGAAAUUACAAAAUUAAUAUAUUAAUGCAAGCAAUUUAACAAUUCAGUUUUUACUUCAUUAAACACAAUUAGCUUUAUAUAUUAUUAAAUUAAUUUAAAAUUGAUAAAACAAUAUCUUGUUAGAUUUGUUUGAACUAAUUCAAAAUUCAUUAAAUAAUAUUUGAUUAGACUUAAAGUUCAUUAUAUAACAUGGCAAAAGCAGCUACAUGUCAAUAAAUAAAUGCAUGAAUUAUCGAUCGGUGUGGGUUAUUUAUAAUCUACACCGAAGUAAUUCCCAAAUAUUAAAUUUCUUAACACUAUUAUAGAACCCAUUGAUGCACAUACGAGAGCCCUACUUUUAGUUAAUUGAACUAAUUUUCUAAUUAUUCAGGAAAAUCAGAUGAAAAUUUUCAAAAUUCUAAUUCCCAAGGCUACAUUUAUAAUACUAAGUACUAUUUAGUUUUGAUUUUUAAUACUUUGUCUGGACGGGGCCUAAGAAAUGAUAAAAUAAAUUAUUUGUUCCUAGAAGACCGCAUAACAGGAUGAGAUAGUACAAAUAGCAAGAGAGGUUUAAAAAUUCUUUUCAAGUCAUAUAAAUGUGCUUAAAAUAAUAAUUUUAAAAUUUUUCUAAGAAUUAAUUGAGACAGUUUUUGCAAACAAUGUGUGAAUUAAUUAAUUUUUUAUAGGGUUUUAAUUCUAAUUAGUAAUUACUAAUUGUAAUUUUUUAUCAAUAAAUAUUAGUUUGUAAGUUAAUUUUGUUAGAAAUAAGAGUUCAAAUUUUUUACUCAUAAUCUUUUUCAUCUUCCUUCUAUUUUCAUUGUAAUUGUCGAAUCAACCUUAUAUCUCAUAAUUACUAAUUAUCAUUAAUUUCAUAAAUUUUUUUAUUGUUUGCCCAUUUUUACGGUGUAAGCCUACAUUGUUAGCUUAUAACACAAUCCUAGCUUUGGUACAAUUAUAUGCUAAAACUUACUAGUAACACAUACACAUUCAAGUAGAAUCAGUUUAUAUCAGGAUUAUAUAGCAGGGAGCUUUGAACAAAAUCUUAAAUUUUGGUAACCCAUUUUUUAAAACUUUGAAAGAUAAAACAAUAGGAAAUCUUUUAGAUAAAAUAAAUAUUACAGAUGAACAAGUGUUCAAGACAAUAAGGUGGAUACAAAUACAUAACUACUGUGCAUUAUCAAAUAGCAUCCUCUACCAAAGGAUUAGUCAAAAUUUCCUUGGAAUAAUUAGAAGAACUAAUGAAGUCUGUUGACAUUGUUUGACUAGAGUAGAUGCUUUGAUCAUUUUCCAUUGUCUCAUGUGGAUACAAAGAAGGCUUUGGAGGUAUUUCCAGGCUUUCAAUGUCUCCUUCAAGCAUUUCCACUACUUUAUUCAUUGAGAGGCGAUCGGUUGGUUUCAACUGUAUACACCAAAGUGAAACAAUUAUCAUCUUUUUUGCUAUUUUAUUUUCCUCCUCUGUGACACCUUCCAUUCCUAUAUUUGUCUCUUUUCCAAGUUGAUUAUAAAUCCAAAAGGGAAAGUAAAGUUGACUUGAAUGAUCCGCAUGGGGAUUUAGGUUCUUCCUCUUACUUGCCAUCUCCAUCAAAAGCAUUCCAAAGCUAUAAACAUCAGCCUUGUGGGAUAUUCCUCCAAUAUUUUUAUAAAAUAAUUUUGGAGCCAUAUACCCAAUUAUCCCUCUUGCCGCUGUCAUAGUCACAAUGCUAUUAUCUAUUGGAUAUAGUUUUGCCAAUCCAAAGUCAGAGACCUUUGGGGUGAAUGUUUCAUCAAGAAGGAUGUUAUGGGGUUUGAUAUCAAAAUGCAAAAUUUGCAUCUCGCACCCAUGAUGGAGAUAAGCAAUCCCACGAGCUACUCCAAUUGCUAUAUUAAAUAUUUCGUCAUAUGUUAAAUGUAUACUUCCAUCUUUGGUAAAAAUAAAUUUGUCAAGAGAUCCAUUGGGCAUGAAUUCAUAAACAAGGGCACGAUUUGAGCCUUCAGCACAAUAUCCAAUUAGUUGUACUACAUUUUGAUGAUGUAUUCUUCCAAUUGUUGCAAUUUCACUAAUAAAGUCUUGGCCAUUACCUUUUGCUUUAUGUAGCAUUUUAAUUGCCACAAAAGGCCCGCUACGCAACUUUCCCUUGAAUACAAAGCCAUAGUCUCCUUCACCCAAUUUCUCUUUGAAACCUCUAGCCAUCUUCUUAAUUUCUUUGUAUGAGUAUCCAAUAGGCAUCAAGUUAUUUUGUUCCAGAUAAUUUUCAAUAUUUUCAUAUAUUGACAAAUGCCUUUUUCUCCAUUUGUAUAUCAAAAGCACAAUAAACAAUGUCAUCCCAAACAAAAACUUGCCUACCAAGUAUGGUAGAAUGUAGUGUCCAAAGGUAAUAAAUAUUAUUGAGUGAUAUGCAUACGCAGAAUAAUGACGACUUUCAAAUUCUGGGUGUCUUAUAGCUUUAAACAAUCCUGUGAAUUAAUAUCACCAAUGUGUAAUUAUGUUAUAACAAUGAUAAAGGAAAAAAGAUGACUAACAUACAACCUAUAUGCACAAU